GGGGUUGUGGCUCAGUGGUAGAGCACUUGCCUGGCAAGUGUGAAGUGCUGGGUUCAAUCCUCAGCCACA
rnacentral:tRNA from 1 species